rnacentral:tRNA from 1 species
GAGGGUAUAGUUCAGUGGUAGAGCACAUUCUUAGCAUGUAUGAUGUCCUGGGUUCAACCCCCGGUACCUCUG